GUGCCCACUUCAGCAGCACAUAUACUAAAAUUGGAACGAUACAGAGAAAAUUAUCAUGGCCCCUGCACAAGAAUCACAUGCAAAUUCAUGAAGUGUUCCAUAUUUAA
rnacentral:snRNA from 1 species